GGGAAUAGAGCAAGCACCUGUGUGGGGCUUAGCUGCUGACUGAAGUCAAACCACAACAGCUGACCAGGUUGUUUGACAUCCAUGGAGCUAAACAAAAACCCCUUUACCUAUUCUGUCAAUUCAGAUGUACAACAAGAUACUACAACAGUUAUUUUCUAGAGAGUGGAUCUCCACUGCAGAUUUGGAACCCACAGUUUACUGUUCAUGUCCUCAGUACAAGAAAUCUCACUUUUAGGAAUCACAUUAUAGAGAAGCAACAGGUUUAGGUGUUCCAGCCCUACAGCAGCUUUGGAGCCUGGUUCUUCCCUCACAGAGACAUCGCUCUGGCCUUGCAGAUUUUCAGGAAAGGUUCCUUCAUAGAAAAGUCUCCAUUUUAAGUUUACAAUAGUCACAUUUUGAACAGUCUCAGAUUUGUUGGAGUUCCAUCCAAGGCAACUCUCAGGUAUAUAUCAGAGCAGAAGCCCUGAUUCUCUGUAAAUAAACAUCAUA